AUACUUUCCUGGCUGGGUCGAUACUGUGAUUAGGAAGUUGGUUUCCUCAGCAUGAGGCUUACACAUUGUACUCAAGAUGUGCUGACACCUGCAAUUUCCCCAGGUGGGAAACUCAACUGCAAAAUUUGUGGUAUUAAAGGAUUAUGUUCAUGCUUUCCCCUG